rnacentral:rRNA from 1 species
GACGAACGCUGGCGGCGUGCUUAACACAUGCGAGUCGAACGGAAAGGCUCCAGCUUGCUGGCGUACUCGAGUGGCGAACGGGUGAGUAACACGUGGGUAAUCUGCCCUGCACUCUGGGAUAAGCCUGGGAAACUGGGUCUAAUACUGGAUAUGACCUUUCUCCUUAUGGGGUUUGGUGGAAAGUUUUUCGGUGUAGGAUGAGCCCGCGGCCUAUCAGCUUGUUGGUGGGGUGAUGGCCUACCAAGGCGACGACGGGUAGCCGGCCUGAGAGGGUGAUCGGCCACAUUGGGACUGAGAUACGGCCCAGACUCCUACGGGAGGCAGCAGUGGGGAAUAUUGCACAAUGGGCGGAAGCCUGAUGCAGCGACGCCGCGUGAGGGAUGACGGCCUUCGGGUUGUAAACCUCUUUCAGCAGGGACGAAGCGUAAGUGACGGUACCUGCAGAAGAAGCACCGGCUAACUACGUG